rnacentral:rRNA from 1 species
AGUAACACGUGGGUAACCUGCCUUAUGGAGGGGGAUAACAGAGAGAAAUCACUGCUAAUACCGCAUAAGCACACAGUACCGCAUGGUACAGGGUGAAAAGAUUUAUCGCCAUAAGAUGGGCCCGCGUCUGAUUAGCCAGUUGGCAGGGUAAAAGCCUACCAAAGCAACGAUCAGUAGCCGAUCUGAGAGGAUGACCGGCCACAUUGGGACUGAGACACGGCCCAA